rnacentral:hammerhead_ribozyme from 1 species
GCACUGCUGACGAGUCCAAAACAGGACGAAACAGAUGUCCAUUGC